rnacentral:rRNA from 2 species
AUGAACGCUGGCGGCGUGCCUAAUACAUGCAAGUCGAACGAGUUCUCGUUGAUGAUCGGUGCUUGCACCGAGAUUCAACAUGGAACGAGUGGCGGACGGGUGAGUAACACGUGGGUAACCUGCCCUUAAGUGGGGGAUAACAUUUGGAAACAGAUGCUAAUACCGCAUAGAUCCAAGAACCGCAUGGUUCUUGGCUGAAAGAUGGCGUAAGCUAUCGCUUUUGGAUGGACCCGCGGCGUAUUAGCUAGUUGGUGAGGUAAUGGCUCACCAAGGCGAUGAUACGUAGCCGAACUGAGAGGUUGAUCGGCCACAUUGGGACUGAGACACGGCCCAAACUCCUACGGGAGGCAGCAGUAGGGAAUCUUCCACAAUGGACGCAAGUCUGAUGGAGCAACGCCGCGUGAGUGAAGAAGGCUUUCGGGUCGUAAAACUCUGUUGUUGGAGAAGAAUGGUCGGCAGAGUAACUGUUGUCGGCGUGACGGUAUCCAACCAGAAAGCCACGGCUAACUACGUGCCAGCAGCCGCGGUAAUACGUAGGUGGCAAGCGUUAUCCGGAUUUAUUGGGCGUAAAGCGAGCGCAGGCGGUUUUUUAAGUCUGAUGUGAAAGCCCUCGGCUUAACCGAGGAAGCGCAUCGGAAACUGGGAAACUUGAGUGCAGAAGAGGACAGUGGAACUCCAUGUGUAGCGGUGAAAUGCGUAGAUAUAUGGAAGAACACCAGUGGCGAAGGCGGCUGUCUGGUCUGUAACUGACGCUGAGGCUCGAAAGCAUGGGUAGCGAACAGGAUUAGAUACCCUGGUAGUCCAUGCCGUAAACGAUGAAUGCUAGGUGUUGGAGGGUUUCCGCCCUUCAGUGCCGCAGCUAACGCAUUAAGCAUUCCGCCUGGGGAGUACGACCGCAAGGUUGAAACUCAAAGGAAUUGACGGGGGCCCGCACAAGCGGUGGAGCAUGUGGUUUAAUUCGAAGCAACGCGAAGAACCUUACCAGGUCUUGACAUCUUUUGAUCACCUGAGAGAUCAGGUUUCCCCUUCGGGGGCAAAAUGACAGGUGGUGCAUGGUUGUCGUCAGCUCGUGUCGUGAGAUGUUGGGUUAAGUCCCGCAACGAGCGCAACCCUUAUGACUAGUUGCCAGCAUUUAGUUGGGCACUCUAGUAAGACUGCCGGUGACAAACCGGAGGAAGGUGGGGAUGACGUCAAAUCAUCAUGCCCCUUAUGACCUGGGCUACACACGUGCUACAAUGGAUGGUACAACGAGUUGCGAGACCGCGAGGUCAAGCUAAUCUCUUAAAGCCAUUCUCAGUUCGGACUGUAGGCUGCAACUCGCCUACACGAAGUCGGAAUCGCUAGUAAUCGCGGAUCAGCACGCCGCGGUGAAUACGUUCCCGGGCCUUGUACACACCGCCCGUCACACCAUGAGAGUUUGUAACACCCGAAGCCGGUGGCGUAACCCUUUUAGGGAGCGAGCCGUCUAAGGUGGGACAAA